AUUGAACGCUGGCGGCAGGCUUAACACAUGCAAGUCGAGCGGGGUGAUGGUGCUUGCACUAUCACUUAGCGGCGGACGGGUGAGUACUGCUUAGGCAUCUGUCUAUUAGUGGGGGACAACAUCGCGAAAGGGAUGCUCAUACCGCAUACGUCCUACGGGAGACAGCAGGGGACCACUUGUGACCUUGCGCUAAUAGAUGAGCCUAAGUCGGAUUAGCUAGUUGGUGGGGUAAAGGCCUACCAAGGCGACGAUCUGUAGCGGGUCUGAGAGGAUGAUCCGCCACACUGGGACUGAGACACGGCCCAGACUCCUACGGGAGGCAGCAGUGGGGAAUAUUGGACAAUGGGGGGAACCCUGAUCCAGCCAUGCCGCGUGUGUGAAGAAGGCCUUAUGGUUGUAAAGCACUUUAAGCGAGGAGGAGGCUCUUUUGGUUAAUACCCAAGAUGAGUGGACGUUACUCGCAGAAUAAGCACCGGCUAACUCUGUGCCAGCCGCCGCGGUAA
rnacentral:rRNA from 1 species